UUGACAGUCAUUGAUUGAAAAGUUGUUUUGUGGGGCAUGAUGUAUUACCAUUCUAGAUGAAAACUAAGAAAAACUUUCUAACACUGGAAAUGUGGAUUUGCUUCCCAAGACAGCAGGGAAGAAUCAAUGGCAGUUUCAGCUCUCUUGAAGAUUGAUGCAGCAUUGCAGUGCUUAGUAACAUCAUGUGAUCUUUUAAUCAAUCACUGAAAAUAAAUCUACGCAACUGG